rnacentral:misc_RNA from 1 species
AACGCACAUUGCGCCCCUUGGUAUUCCGGGGGGCAUGCCUGUUCGAGCGUCAUUAUAACCAAUCUAGCCUGGCUAGGUAUUGGACCUCGCUCUAUCGCGGGUCUUAAAAAUAGUGGCGGUGCUUUCAGGCUCUACGCGUAGUAAUUUUCUCGCUAUAGAGUCCUGGAGAGUUCUUGCCAACAACCCUUAUUUUUCUUAGGUUGACCUCGGAUCAGGUAGGGAUACCCGCUGAACUUAA